ensembl:lincRNA Gm44205 predicted gene, 44205
AUGGUGCUCCUGAGCUGAGACCAGGAAAUAACAGAAGUGAAAAUGGUGGAUACAGGUCUCCACAUCUGAAAGUUGGCAGUCAAGUUAGGGAGACAGUCAAUCUCCUAACACUCAGCUACAGGGCUGAUACAGCUGAAAAUGAGACUCACAAUUUGAUCACACGGGUGCACAGUGACAACGUCGAUUGAAUUUGCAGCUCUGACAGAUGUGUUUUAUAAAGGCCGGGGCACUGAUCAGAGAGGAGCAGGAUGCCAGGGCAUGUUAUUGAACUUGGAUGAGUCUGAAAAACAGCUGCUUCUUGCUGUCUGGAGUGAUAAGUCUCUCCUUUCCUGAGAAGCCCGUGAGGAGUUCACAGGAGCAACUUCCCCAGGAGAACAUCAUCGAGUCUCGUCUGCUGAGCUGCCAGCAGAAGCCUCUUCCUGUGCCCUAGGAUACUUGUCUCAGAGGAGAUCAUUAUGGUACCAUGGGAAUUUUCCUAUGACCCAUUGAUAGAGCAAGAAAAGACAC